UACGUAGGGUGCGAGCGUUGUCCGGAAUUACUGGGCGUAAAGAGCUCGUAGGUGGUUUGUCGCGUUGUCCGUGAAAACUCACAACUCAAUUGUGGGCGUGCGGGCGAUACGGGCAGACUGGAGUACUGCAGGGGAGACUGGAAUUCCUGGUGUAGCGGUGGAAUGCGCAGAUAUCAGGAGGAACACCGGUGGCGAAGGCGGGUCUCUGGGCAGUAACUGACGCUGAAGAGCGAAAGCGUGGGGAGCGAACAGG
rnacentral:rRNA from 1 species